rnacentral:ncRNA from 1 species
CUAAUUAAUUCUACUAGUAGUUAUAUAUUUAUUUUAAAAAUUAAAUUAUAUAUAUCUAAGUAUAAGUAAUUAUAUAGUGAAAUUAUUAAUAACUUAUUAUAUAAGUUAUUAUUUAUUUAAUAGUAUUUUACUACUUAGAUAAUUAUAGUAAUUCUAGAGUUAAUAUAUAUUAAAAAUCCUGAUUUUAAAAAGAAUAUAUUUAUUAGAUUAAAACCUAAUACCUUUUAAGGCUUACUAAUAAUUUAUUAUAACUUCUCAAAUUAUAUAACUUUAUAUUAAUAAUAGUUUAUUCAAAUUUCUUCCCUAUUAAUUUUUAAUAUUAGAAUAAUAUUUUAAUAUAAUUAUAAUAAGUAAUAGAAAAUUAAAACUUAACUUGAGAGAAAAAACCUAAGAAAUAACUAUUAUAUCUAAAAAAAGUAGUAAGUAUAUAAAUUAUUUAAUCCUAAUAUAAAGAGAUAGUAAUAAUAAAUAUUAAUAUAAGGCUUUUUUAAGUCUUAUAAUUAGAAUAAAUAUAAUUUAAAUCUCUUAAUAAAGAAUAAUUAAAAAAUAAGUCUAAUACUAGUAGUUAUAAUAAUAUUAAUUCUAAUAGUAUAUAUUAAAGUUAUUAUAGUUAAAAAGCUUAUAGUAGAACUUUAGAUCUAGCUAACCGGUCUACCUUAUUAUAUAUAUUAGUCUAACUAGGCUUUUCCUUCUAUAGAACUAUAUAUUUUUUAUUAAAUAUACUAGGGAAAUAAGACUUUUAUUUUAAAAAAAUUAGAAUACUCUAAAUAGACCUAUAUUUAAAUAUAUUAAUAUAGAAUAAUAGAAUAAAAUAUAUAGUUCUAUUUUAUUAGUUUUUAAGAUUAUUAUAAUAAUUAAUAGGGAUAGUUAGGAGUAUUAAUAUUUAAUUAUUAGAAGUAAAAUUCUUAGAUUUAUUAAAAAUUAACUAUUACAAAAAUAUUUACUAAAAAUAUUUUUAUUUAUUAGGAAUAAAAGUUAGGGGAUUAAAGAUAAUUAGAUAUUAUUAUAAUUUUAACUAUAAAUUAUACUAACUAAAAAUUAGAUAAUAUUAUUUUUUAACUUAUUUAGUAUUUUAUAAAAAAUCAAAAUACUUAGGCUUUA